ACUCCUACGGGAGGCAGCAGUGGGGAAUAUUGGGCAAUGGGCGGAAGCCUGACCCAGCAACGCCGCGUGAGGGAAGAAGGUUUUCGGAUUGUAAACCUCUGUUCUUGGGGAAGAGGAGGAGACGGUACCCAAGGAGGAAGCCCCGGCUAACUACGUGCCAGCAGCGGCGGUAAUACGUAGGGGGCGAGCGUUGUCCGGAAUGAUUGGGCGUAAAGGCCGCGCAGGCCGCCUGUCAAGUCAGUAGUGGAAGUCCAUUAUUCAAGGAUGGAAGUGCUAUAGAAACUGAUGGGCUAGAGUGCAGGAGAGGUUAUCGGAAUUCCCGGUGUAGCGGUGAUAUGCGUAGAGAUCGCGAGGAACACCAGUGGCGAAGGCGCGUAACUGGACUGCAACUGACGCUGAGGCGCGAAAGCGUGGGGAGCAAACAGGAUUAGAUACCCUGGUAGUC
rnacentral:rRNA from 1 species